rnacentral:lncRNA from 1 species
UGACAAAGAGAAUAGAAGGAGAAUAAGUUUCCUUACUUGAUUUGUUACACAUGACAAGGUAUUUAAAGACAUACAAGAAUGCAUAAACAAUGAGAAGAUAGUACAAGGGAAAGAAUAAACAAAGAGGAAGCAGAUCCGCGGAUGGCUCGUUCAGCAAGAGGGAUAGUGACAGCUCCCAACGGUCAGCUCCCUCUCUCUUCU